UUGACGUAGCGGCGGACGGGUGAGUAACACGUGGGUAACCUACCUAUAAGACUGGGAUAACUUCGGGAAACCGGAGCUAAUACCGGAUAAUAUUUCGAACCGCAUGGUUCGAUAGUGAAAGACGGUUUUGCUAUCACUUAUAGAUGGACCCGCGCCGUAUUAGCUAGUUGGUAAGGUAACGGCUUACCAAGGCGACGAUACGUAGCCGACCUGAGAGGGUGAUCGGCCACACUGGAACUGAGACACGGUCCAGACUCCUACGGGAGGCAGCAGCC
rnacentral:rRNA from 1 species